rnacentral:rRNA from 1 species
AGCCUACGGGGGGCAGCAGUGAGGAAUAUUGGUCAAUGGACGCAAGUCUGAACCAGCCAUGCCGCGUGCAGGAAGACGGCUCUAUGAGUUGUAAACUGCUUUUGUACGAGGGUAAAUCCCGAUACGUGUAUCGGGUUGAAAGUAUCGUACGAAUAAGGAUCGGCUAACUACGUGCCAGCAGCCGCGGUCAUACGUAGGAUCCGAGCAUUAUCCGGAGUGACUGGGUGUAAAGAGUUGCGUAGGUGGCAUAAUAAGUAGCUAGUGAAAUCUGGUGGCUCAACCAUUCAGACUAUUAGCUAAACUGU